UACGGGGGAGCAAGCGUUGUUCGGAUUUACUGGCGUAAAGGCGCGUAGGCGGCGUAACAAGUCACUUGUGAAUCUCCGGGCUUAACUCGGAGCGGUCAAGUGAUACUGUGUGCUAGAGUGCGAAGGGCUACUGGAUUCUCGGUGUAGCGUGAAAUGCGUAGAUAUCGAGAGAACACUGCGCGAAGCGGUAGCUGGCGACACUGACGCUGAAGCGCGAAAGCUAGGGGGGGAGCGAACGG
rnacentral:rRNA from 1 species